rnacentral:lncRNA from 1 species
CCAUAGAAAUAGUAACACUAAGUCCAAAGACAGAAUUACAAGACAUGUCAAAAUUAUUGCAGAAAAUAAUAAAUGAACAAAGUACUUCCCCAAAACCCAGUAUGACAGGAGGCAUUAAAAUAAAAGAACCUACACAAAGUAACAUACCAAGUGAAAGUACUAGCAAAGAUAAAAAUAAAAUAACUAUUUUAACUGAAUAUAAUGAAACCUCUUCAUCAGAAGAUGACACUAUAAACAAUCCCUUAGAAGCAUCAGACUCUGACCAA